AAUUAAGUGGCUGAAUUUUAAGCUAUGGUCUCUUAAACCAAAAUAUAUUAGUUUACUAAUCUUAAUUG
rnacentral:tRNA from 1 species